UUUAAAUUGAGAGUUUGAUCCUGGCUCAGGACGAACGCUGGCGGCGUGCCUAACACAUGCAAGUCGAGCGAUGAAACUUCCUUCGGGAAGUGGAAUAGCGGCGGACGGGUGAGUAACACGUGGGUAACCUGCCUCAAAGAGGGGGAUAGCCUCCCGAAAGGGAGAUUAAUACCGCAUAACAUUAUUUUAUGGCAUCAUAAAAUAAUCAAAGGAGCAAUCCGCUUUGAGAUGGACCCGCGGCGCAUUAGCUAGUUGGUGAGGUAACGGCUCACCAAGGCAACGAUGCGUAGCCGACCUGAGAGGGUGAUCGGCCACAUUGGAACUGAGACACGGUCCAGACUCCUACGGGAGGCAGCAGUGGGGAAUAUUGCGCAAUGGGGGAAACCCUGACGCAGCAACGCCGCGUGAGUG
rnacentral:rRNA from 1 species